CCUGCAGAGAAACGGGCCUGUCGGCUCUCGGGAACCCCAUUCCAAAGGAACGAUCCAGGCCCGGGGCUUCUGGAAGGACCCAAGCUCCAGGCCUAGGGUUUUUCCUACCAGUCCCAUCCCCAACAUACAUCUCCCUGGAAAUGAGAGCAAGCAAAGCGUAUGUACUUGGACGGAGACAGAGGCCUGAGUAUGUCUUGGGAAGAGGAGAGGAGACAGCCAGGCAAGCAGGCAGGAGCUUGGAGAUGUCAGAACACAACAGCACCACAGGAUGUUGGAAAGAGGGCCAGCAGAGAGACAAACAAGGCAUCCCCACCCACCGGGGACAGCCAGGCCAGCUGAGCAGGACGGGGCAAGAGGCACCCCAGGCACAGCCAGAGCUGCUCACCGGAACCUGAAACUAUCCAGUUCUGGAGAGGCCCCUCUGAGCUACCUAGUCAGCCUAGGGCAGAGGAAAGAAAGUAUACUCUGGAGCUGACACAGCCAGCUUUGAACCCCAGCUCUGCCACUCCUGGGCUGGAC